rnacentral:rRNA from 1 species
AGUCGAGCGGAGAUGAGGUGCUUGCACCUUAUCUUAGCGGCGGACGGGUGAGUAAUGCUUAGGAAUCUGCCUAUUAGUGGGGGACAACAUUCCGAAAGGAAUGCUAAUACCGCAUACGUCCUACGGGAGAAAGCAGGGGAUCUUCGGACCUUGCGCUAAUAGAUGAGCCUAAGUCGGAUUAGCUAGUUGGUGGGGUAAAGGCCUACCAAGGCGACGAUCUGUAGCGGGUCUGAGAGGAUGAUCCGCCACACUGGGACUGAGACACGGCCCAGACUCCUACGGGAGGCAGCAGUGGGGAAUAUUGGACAAUGGGGGGAACCCUGAUCCAGCCAUGCCGCGUGUGUGAAGAAGGCCUUAUGGUUGUAAAGCACUUUAAGCGAGGAGGAGGCUACUGAGACUAAUACUCUUGGAUAGUGGACGUUACUCGCAGAAUAAGCACCGGCUAAUUCUGUGCCAGCAGCCGCGGUAAUACAGAGGGUGCGAGUGUUAAUCGGAUUUACUGGGCGUAAAGCGUGCGUAGGCGGCUUUUUAAGUCGGAUGUGAAAUCCCCGAGCUUAACUUGGGAAUUGCAUUCGAUACUGGGAAGCUAGAGUAUGGGAGAGGAUGGUAGAAUUCCAGGUGUAGCGGUGAAAUGCGUAGCGAUCUGGAGGAAUACCGAUGGCGAAGGCAGCCAUCUGGCCUAAUACUGACGCUGAGUACGAAAGCAUGGGGAGCAAACAGGAUUAGAUACCCUGGUAGUCCAUGCCGUAAACGAUGUCUACUAGCCGUUGGGGCCUUUGAGGCUUUAGUGGCGCAGCUAACGCGAUAAGUAGACCGCCUGGGGAGUACGGUCGCAAGACUAAAACUCAAAUGAAUUGACGGGGGCCCGCACAAGCGGUGGAGCAUGUGGUUUAAUUCGAUGCAACGCG